rnacentral:lncRNA from 1 species
CCGAGGAAAAGGAGACAUCCCCGGCCCGGCCCAGAAGGCAGCAGCACGCACCAGAUCUCGGCGCGUGCAGCGACAGCAGCAUCCCGGCGGAGCAGCUGAAGGAAAACGCACGAUCACGGUGAAAGAUUUCAAAACCCUGUUGCUGCUCUGCUGUCCAGUAGAGAUGUAUUGGAUCUUCGAGGAACACAUUCUCUCUAACAGUCCAUGUUUCUGUGUGUAUAUUCAAACAAGGAAGAGAGAAGGCGGCCAGGGAACCCUAAAAGCAAAGCACGGGUCUCCAUGAAAAGGGCCCAAUGUCUAGGAGAUUCCAUGGGACUUAGCAGCCACCAAAUACUUUGCUUGUUUUACUAGCUAGGGCAAACUCCUCUCCUCCCAAUGGAAACUCCUGGGAAAAGGUUUGUGAAGGAAACCUCAAGUUGCAACAAUCCUUUGCUGCCUGUUCUACUUUCCUUUGAGAAAUUUUAAGGUGGGCUGCUAAAAAGUGAGAUAAUGAGAGCUCUUUGCCUGGCUACAGCUAGUUCAUGUGGUCAGGAAGGUGAGCAAAAAUAUUUUAAACUCAUUUCUCCCCUUCCCUCCCCCCCAAAUUGAUGACAUUUGUGUGUUCUCCCUGAGCCAGCCUGAAAAAAUGAAAUUUACUGUUUGAAGCUGUUAUACCAAUAAAAACUAGCAGGAUCUUAUUAAAGGGGACA